rnacentral:misc_RNA from 1 species
UUUCCGUAGGUGAACCUGCGGAAGGAUCAUUCAUAAUAAGUGUUUAUGGCACUUUUUUAAAUCCAUAUCCACCUUGUGUGCAAUGUCAGGGUUGAUUUUUCUCUCGAGAGGAUCAGCCCCAAACAUCAACUAUAUCUCAACUCUUUGUCUGAAAAAUAUUAUGAAUAAAACAAUUCAAAAUACAACUUUCAACAACGGAUCUCUUGGCUCUG